AAAUAUGGUGCACUCCUAUGUUAU
rnacentral:siRNA from 1 species